rnacentral:rRNA from 1 species
GACGAACGCUGGCGGCGUGCUUAACACAUGCAAGUCGAACGAGAGGAGAAGGAAGCUUGCUUCUUUCGAAUCUAGUGGCAAACGGGUGAGUAACACGUAAACAACCUGCCUUCAGGAUGGGGACAACAGACGGAAACGACUGCUAAUACCGAAUACGUUCCUUAGGUCGCAUGACUUUAGGAAGAAAGGGUGGCCUCUACUUGUAAGCUAUCGCCUGAAGAGGGGUUUGCGUCUGAUUAGGUAGUUGGUGAGGUAACGGCCCACCAAGCCGACGAUCAGUAGCCGGUCUGAGAGGAUGAACGGCCACACUGGAACUGAGACACGGUCCAGACUCCUACGGGAGGCAGCAGUGGGGAAUCUUCCGCAAUGGGCGAAAGCCUGACGGAGCAACGCCGCGUGAGUGAUGACGGCCUUCGGUUGUUAAAGACGUCUGUGAUCGGGACGAACGGUCAGCAGACGAAUACUCUGCUGAAGUGACGGUACCCGAACUAGCAAGCCACGG